CAGGCCUAACACAUGCAAGUCGAGCGGGGAAAGGUAGCUUGCUACCUGACCUAGCGGCGGACGGGUGAGUAAUGCUUAGGAAUCUGCCUAUUAGUGGGGGACAACAUUCCGAAAGGAAUGCUAAUACCGCAUACGCCCUACGGGGGAAAGCAGGGGAUCUUCGGACCUUGCGCUAAUAGAUGAGCCUAAGUCAGAUUAGCUAGUUGGUGGGGUAAAGGCCUACCAAGGCGACGAUCUGUAGCGGGUCUGAGAGGAUGAUCCGCCACACUGGGACUGAGACACGGCCCAGACUCCUACGGGAGGCAGCAGUGGGGAAUAUUGGACAAUGGGCGAAAGCCUGAUCCAGCCAUGCCGCGUGUGUGAAGAAGGCCUUUUGGUUGUAAAGCACUUUAAGCGAGGAGGAGGCUACUUGGAUUAAUACUCUAGGAUAGUGGACGUUACUCGCGGAAUAAGCACCGGCUAACUCUGUGCCAGCAGCCGCGGUAAUACAGAGGGUGCGAGCGUUAAUCGGAUUUACUGGGCGUAAAGCGUGCGUAGGCGGCUUCUUAAGUCGGAUGUGAAAUCCCUGAGCUUAACUUAGGAAUUGCAUUCGAUACUGGGAAGCUAGAGUAUGGGAGAGGAUGGUAGAAUUCCAGGUGUAGCGGUGAAAUGCGUAGAGAUCUGGAGGAAUACCGAUGGCGAAGGCAGCCAUCUGGCCUAAUACUGACGCUGAGGUACGAAAGCAUGGGGAGCAAACAGGAUUAGAUACCCUGGUAGUCCAUGCCGUAAACGAUGUCUACUAGCCGUUGGGGCCUUUGAGGCUUUAGUGCGCAGCUAACGCGAUAAGUAGACCGCCUGGGGAGUACGGUCGCAGAC
rnacentral:rRNA from 1 species